CUUUUAAACAUUAAAGUUACAAAUUGUGUUAUUGUUCUUUAUUUCUAUCGAUAUUUCAUUUCUACAUGUAUAUAUCUGUCACUCUAGUUGGAGAGAAAGAAAAAUUCUGAAAGAAGUUGUCAAACAAGCAAAGACACCUUUGAAGACAAGAAUAAUACCACAAGUUAACAAGGGCGUCAUGUUGCCAGCACAAUGACCAACUGCCUUUACUUUCCCAAACUAAUGUUGGGUUGACUCAGAGGGUAUCCUAAAAAUUCAUUAUACAGGCCUUCAGCGAGAUUUGAAGCAGAGACACCUCAAUUCAGAAGUGAAAGGUUCUACCACUCAGCCACCAUAUUACAUAUUUGUCAAAAUGAUUGAAUGUGCACACAAGUCAUUUCAUUGUGUCUAUUCUUCACUAAAGUGUUUGUACCUGUCAU